AAGGGCUUCUUCAGUGAUCAUAUCCCCAACAAGAACAACAAGAUAAUCAUCUGGAAGCUCCUUAGCCCUCUCCCUCAAUUCCUUGACUUGGUCAUGAAAUCCAUCAGACGCAGGAUCGGGCAGGAAAUCCUGUGGUUGCCAGCUUUUCUCCACUGGUUUCAGGAGAGUCAAUAAAUUUUGCUCCGCCCAUCCCUCUAGAGAUUUAAAAAUCUCAAUCUUUUGAGGCGGCAUAGAGUGUGUUACUUGAACAUGAACCUCACGAGGAGGAGAAAAGGGUUUCUUCAGGUUCUCAACCUCCUUUGUACCAGAAGUAAGGCUUGCAGCCAUGAAAAACUUGGGAGAUCUAAGACUUAGCAUAGGUGGAUGAACAAAAGAAGAAGAAUACUUGUGAGAUUGAAAGUUAAAGGCAUUCAGCUUCAAAGCCAUUUUUUCAAUGCUUUUUUUUCUUGUUUGUGUAGUGAUUUAAGCAGGAU
rnacentral:misc_RNA from 1 species